GGAGUUAGCCGGUGCUUCUUCUGUGAGUGAUGUCCUUCCUGCCGGCUAUUAACCCGCAGGCCUUCUUCCUCACUGAAAGUGCUUUACAACCCGAAGGCCUUCUUCACACACGCGGCAUGGCUGGAUCAGGGUUGCCCCCAUUGUCCAAUAUUCCCCACUGCUGCCUCCCGUAGGAGUCUGGGCCGUGUCUCAGUCCCAGUGUGGCUGAUCAUCCUCUCAGACCAGCUACGGAUCGUCGCCUUGGUGAGCCGUUACCUCACCAACCAGCUAAUCCGACAUAGGCUCAUCCGAUAGCGCGAGGCCCGAAGGUCCCCCGCUUUCCCCCGUAGGGCGUAUGCGGUAUUAGCCUGGGUUUCCCCCAGGUUAUCCCCCACUACCGGGCAGAUUCCUAUGCAUUACUCACCCGUCCGCCGCUCGCCACCAGGGAGCAAGCUCCCCGUGCUGCCGCUCGACUUGCAUGUGUUAGGCCUGCCGCCAGAGUUCAAUCUGAGCAGANACAACUACUGA
rnacentral:rRNA from 1 species